rnacentral:rRNA from 1 species
AUUGAACGCUGGCGGCAGGCCUAACACAUGCAAGUCGAGCGGAUGAGGAAAGCUUGCUUUUCGAUUCAGCGGCGGACGGGUGAGUAAUGCCUAGGAAUCUGCCUGUUAGUGGGGGAUAACUCGGGGAAACUCGGGCUAAUACCGCAUACGUCCUACGGGAGAAAGUGGGGGAUCUUCGGACCUCACGCUAACAGAUGAGCCUAGGUCGGAUUAGCUAGUAGGUGAGGUAAUGGCUCACCUAGGCGACGAUCCGUAACUGGUCUGAGAGGAUGAUCAGUCACACUGGAACUGAGACACGGUCCAGACUCCUACGGGAGGCAGCAGUGGGGAAUAUUGGACAAUGGGCGAAAGCCUGAUCCAGCCAUGCCGCGUGUGUGAAGAAGGCCUUCGGGUUGUAAAGCACUUUCAGUAGGGAGGAAGCGUUGUGUGUUAAUAGUACACAGCGUUGACGUUACCUACAGAAGAAGCACCGGCUAACUCUGUGCCAGCAGCCGCGGUAAAAC